rnacentral:lncRNA from 1 species
CCCAGAUACAGUGAUCUUACUGUGAUGUCCAAUUAAUCUUUUUUUUUUUUUUCGAUAAUCGUGGUAUAGGCGGCUCGGCUCGACUACAAAAUGUUAGUGAAGUUCGAACCAAUAAUCAUGAGAUUGUCAAUUCCUUAGGUUAAUCUUUGACAUAAGUUUUUUUCUUUAAUGAAGAGAUAUAUGUACAGUACAGGGCUAAAGACAAACUGUGUAAGAGUCUUACUAGGGAAAAAUUUGGACCCAAAUUUGUAUUUACUGAUUUUGGACCCAAUUUGAUUUUACUAAUUGGGAGUUAGCUAGA